rnacentral:rRNA from 1 species
UACAGAGGUCCCGAGCGUUGUUCGGAUUCACUGGGCGUAAAGGGUGCGUAGGCGGUUUGGUAAGUCUUGUGUGAAAUCUACAGGCUCAACUUGUAGUCUGCACGAGAAACUGCCGGGCUUGAGUGUGGGAGAGGUGAGUGGAAUUCCUGGUGUAGCGGUGAAAUGCGUAGAUAUCAGGAGGAACACCUGUGGCGAAAGCGGCUCACUGGACCAUAACUGACGCUGAUGCACGAAAGCUAGGGGAGCAAACAGG